rnacentral:rRNA from 1 species
GCCAGACUCCUACGGGAGGCAGCAGUGAGGAAUAUUGGUCAAUGGGCGCGAGCCUGAACCAGCCAAGUCGCGUGAGGGAUGACGGCCCUACGGGUUGUAAACCUCUUUUGCCGGGGAGCAAGCGUGCGUUCGUGAACGCGCGUCGAGAGUACCCGGAGAAAAAGCAUCGGCUAACUCCGUGCCAGCAGCCGCGGUAAUACGGAGGAUGCGAGCGUUAUCCGGAUUUAUUGGGUUUAAAGGGUGCGUAGGCGGAAUGCCAAGUCAGCGGUAAAAUCGCGGGGCUCAACCUCGCUCCGCCGUUGAAACUGGCGUUCUUGAGUGGGCGAGAAGUAUGCGGAAUGCGUGGUGUAGCGGUGAAAUGCAUAGAUAUCACGCAGAACUUCGAUUGCGAAGGCAGCAUACCGGCGCCCAACUGACGCUGAAGCACGAAAGCGUGGGUAUCGAACAGGAUUAGAUACCCGCGUAC